AUUGAAAUCCGAAGGCCAACUAACUUUUUCUACGGGGAUAACGCAUGGGAAACGUGUGCUAAUACCGUAUACGCCCUAUUGGGGGAAAGAUUUUAUUGGAGAGAGAUGAGCCUGCGUUGGAUUAGCUAGUUGGUAGGGUAAGAGCCUACCAAGGCUACGAUCUAUAGCUGGUCUGAGAGGACGAUCAGCCACACUGGGACUGAGACACGGCCCAGACUCCUACGGGAGGCAGCAGUGGGGAAUAUUGGACAAUGGGGGCAACCCUGAUCCAGCCAUGCCGCGUGAGUGAAGAAGGCCUUAGGGUUGUAAAGCUCUUUCGCCGGAGAAGAUAAUGACGGUAUUCGGAGAAGAAGCCCCGGCUAACUUCGUGCCAGCAGCCGCGGUAAUACGAAGGGGGCGAGCGUUGUUCGGAAUAACUGGGCGUAAAGGGCGCGUAGGCGGGCGAUUAAGUUAGAGGUGAAAUCCCAGGGCUCAACCUUGGAACUGCCUUUAAUACUGGUUGUCUCGAGUUUAGGAGAGGGGAGUGGAAUUCC
rnacentral:rRNA from 1 species